AGAGUUUGAUCAUGGCUCAGGACGAACGCUGGCUGCGUGCUUAACACAUGCAAGUCGAACGCUGAAGCCCUCAGCUUGCUGGGGGUGGAUGAGUGGCGAACGGGUGAGUAACACGUGAGUAACCUGCCCUGACUUCGGGAUAAGCCCGGGAAACUGGGUCUAAUACCGGAUAUGAGCAUGGCCCGCAUGGGUGGUGCUGGAAAGUUUUUUCGGUUGGGGAUGGGCUCGCGGCCUAUCAGCUUGAUGGUGGGGUAAUGGCCUACCAUGGCGACGACGGGUAGCCGGCCUGAGAGGGCGACCGGCCACACUGGGACUGAGACACGGCCCAGACUCCUACGGGAGGCAGCAGUGGGGAAUAUUGCACAAUGGGGGAAACCCUGAUGCAGCGACGCAGCGUGCGGGAUGACGGCCUUCGGGUUGUAAACCGCUUUCAGCAGGGAAGAAGCCUGACGGUGACGGUACCUGCAGAAGAAGUACCGGCUAACUACGUGCCAGCAGCCGCGGUAAUACGUAGGGUACAAGCGUUGUCCGGAAUUAUUGGGCGUAAAGAGCUCGUAGGUGGUUGGUCGCGUCUGCUGUGGAAACGUAACGCUUAACGUUGCGCGUGCAGUGGGUACGGGCUGACUAGAGUGCAGUAGGGGAGUCUGGAAUUCCUGGUGUAGCGGUGAAAUGCGCAGAUAUCAGGAGGAACACCGGUGGCGAAGGCGGGACUCUGGGCUGUAACUGACACUGAGGAGCGAAAGCAUGGGGAGCGAACAGGAUUAGAUACCCUGGUAGUCCAUGCCGUAAACGUUGGGCACUAGGUGUGGGGGACAUUCCACGUUCUCCGCGCCGUAGCUAACGCAUUAAGUGCCCCGCCUGGGGAGUACGGUCGCAAGGCUAAAACUCAAAGGAAUUGACGG
rnacentral:rRNA from 1 species